AAUGGAGCCCACUGUUCUUCCUCUAGGACUGAAUAAAAUGUACUCUACGCUCAAAUCCGCCAGACAAAGAAAGAUAUACCAGCAAAGGCGGGGAGGGAUGAAAAUGGGUGUUCGGCUAUUCAUUCACGUACAUGUGGUUCAUCUCCAAGGCUUCCAAGAAAGCAGCAGCACACCCAAUCUCCUCCGACGCUGUCUGUAUCGGAGCCUCCUGCGAAUAAUCCUCUUAAUGGAAUAUUUAAGAAAUCGGAUAUAAAUCACCAAGCUUUUAUCUCACCUGAAGAUUCAUACUCCAUGGGACACUUUUAGGGAGGAACAGCUAUAAGGGAAAGAUUACAACUUCAAGUUGUUGGCCAUAGGAAAGAGAUUUCUCCUCAAACACAGUACUUCACAGACCUCGUUCUGGAAAUUCAUGGUUAGGACUGGAGAUGAACCUCUGCUGACACCACCAAAGCCACUGGGUGUAUCGUCUUUGUCAUGAACCUUUGCCUUUUCAUGAGAAUGAACAAAAAAGGUCUAGAUAAUCCAGAGUUCUUGUUAGGGUUCACUUAUUGGAAAGUUUGCUAUAUUAAAAUAUGUAUUUGUCAAUAUCGUGGAUUCUUUUAGGCCAGACUUCAUUAUUUCUCUCCUCCUUGUUCUUCUCCUACUAAAUGAUG